rnacentral:rRNA from 1 species
GACGAACGCUGGCGGCGUGCCUAAUACAUGCAAGUUGAGCGAUGAAGAUUGGUGCUUGCACCAAUUUGAAGAGCAGCGAACGGGUGAGUAACGCGUGGGGAAUCUGCCUUUGAGCGGGGGACAACAUUUGGAAACGAAUGCUAAUACCGCAUAACAACUUUAAACAUAAGUUUUAAGUUUGAAAGAUGCAAUUGCAUCACUCAAAGAUGAUCCCGCGUUGUAUUAGCUAGUUGGUGAGGUAAAGGCUCACCAAGGCGAUGAUACAUAGCCGACCUGAGAGGGUGAUCGGCCACAUUGGGACUGAGACACGGCCCAAACUCCUACGGGAGGCAGCAGUAGGGAAUCUUCGGCAAUGGACGAAAGUCUGACCGAGCAACGCCGCGUGAGUGAAGAAGGUUUUCGGAUCGUAAAACUCUGUUGGUAGAGAAGAACGUUGGUGAGAGUGGAAAGCUCAUCAAGUGACGGUAACUAACCAGAAAGGGACGGCUAACUACGU